CCCCUCGCCAUUUUCACCCGGGAGGAGCUCGGCGGGACUUCCCUGAAACUUCGCGGGGGAACUCGCCCGGCGCCUCCGGGGCGGCCGCAAACUUUUCACCGCGGCGCCCGCCUCCCCCCGCUCCGUCCCUGACCCCCUCGGCUCCGGGGCGGCGGCUCCGGCGGGAAGUUUUCGAUGAGCGCCCCUCCGCUGAUCCGGCCGCCCAGCCCGCUGAUGCCGCCGCCGGGGGCUGCUGCCGGCGGCGGCGUCGCCUUCCACCUCCAGAUAGGGCUGAGCCGGGAGCCGGUGCUGUUGCUGCAGGACUCCUCGGGGGACUUCAGCCUCGCCCACGUCCGGGAAAUGGCUUGCUCCAUCGUCGACCAGAAGUUUCCCGAAUGUGGUUUCUACGGAAUGUAUGACAAAAUUCUGCUCUUCCGCCAUGACCCUACCUCUGAAAACAUUCUCCAGUUGGUGAAAACAGCUGCAGAUAUCCAAGAAGGAGACCUAGUUGAAGUUGUCUUGUCAGCUUCUGCUACAUUUGAAGACUUUCAAAUCCGGCCCCAUGCUCUUUUUGUUCAUUCAUAUCGAGCGCCAGCCUUUUGUGAUCAUUGUGGAGAAAUGCUGUGGGGGCUGGUGCGUCAGGGACUCAAAUGUGAAGGAUGUGGUCUAAAUUACCAUAAGAGAUGUGCGUUUAAAAUCCCUAACAACUGCAGUGGCGUACGGAAAAGGCGCCCGUCAAACGUGUCCCUAACAGGUCUCAGCACUGUUCGGACAGUUUCUGCAGAACCCUCGCCCAGCGUGCCGGAUGAAGCCCUUCUGUCUCCUGUCAGCCCUGGCUAUGAGCAAAAGACACCAUCAGAAUCAUUCACUGGGCGAGAGAAGAGAUCAAAUUCACAGUCGUACAUUGGGCGACCUAUUCAGCUAGACAAGAUCUUACUGUCCAAGGUUAAAGUGCCUCACACUUUUGUCAUCCACUCUUACACACGGCCAACAGUUUGCCAGUACUGUAAGAAGCUUCUCAAAGGGCUCUUUAGACAGGGUUUGCAGUGCAAAGACUGUAGGUUCAACUGUCACAAACGCUGUGCUCCUAAAGUGCCAAAUAACUGCCUGGGGGAAGUUGCCAUUAAUGGAGAUCUUCUUAGUCCUGGGGCUGAGUCAGAUGUGGUCAUGGAAGAAGGGAGUGACGACAAUGACAGUGAAAGAAACAGCGGUUUUAUAGAUGACAUGGAAGAAUCUAUAGCUCAUGAUUCUGAGAUGUCAAUGACAGGAUGCCAUAGUGACAGCGGGGAAAUGCAGGAUGCUGAUCCGGAUCAUGAUGAGUCUAACAGGAUGAUCAGCCCUUCAACCAGCAACAAUAUUCCAUUAAUGAGAGUGGUACAAUCUGUGAAGCACACAAAAAGGAGAAGUAGCACAGUAAUGAAGGAGGGUUGGAUGGUUCACUAUACAAGCAAGGACACACUGAGGAAACGACAUUACUGGAGACUGGACAGCAAAUGCAUUACACUUUUUCAAAAUGAUACUGGAAGCAAAUAUUACAAAGAAAUCCCAUUGUCUGAAAUUUUGUCUCUGGAACCUGCAAAAACUUUCACUUUGCUGCCUCAGGGAGCCAAUCCUCAUUGUUUUGAAAUAAGCACAGCAAAUAUAGUCUAUUAUGUUGGAGAAAACAUAGAAAACCUCUCAAGUGUUCCACUGAAUAACAGUGUUAUCACCAGUGGUAUUGGCAUUGAUGUGGCACGAAUGUGGGAGAUGGCCAUACAGCAUGCCCUGAUGCCCGUCAUCCCUAAAGGGGCAUCAGCUGGGUCAGGACCCAGCCUGCACAGGGAUAUAUCCAUCAGUAUUUCUGUGUCAAACUGCCAAGUUCAAGAAAAUGUGGAUAUUAGCACUGUAUACCAAAUCUUCCCAGAUGAGGUGUUGGGAUCAGGACAGUUUGGAAUUGUUUAUGGAGGAAAACAUCGCAAAACAGGAAGAGAUGUUGCCAUUAAAAUAAUUGACAAACUAAGGUUUCCAACUAAACAGGAAAGUCAACUUCGUAAUGAAGUUGCAAUUUUACAGAAUCUUCAUCAUCCUGGGGUUGUGAAUCUGGAGUGUAUGUUUGAGACGCCGGAAAGAGUGUUUGUUGUUAUGGAAAAACUCCAUGGAGACAUGCUGGAGAUGAUCUUAUCCAGUGAAAAGGGCAGAUUGCCAGAGAGAAUAACGAAGUUUUUAAUUACUCAGAUCCUUGUUGCUUUAAGACAUCUUCAUUUCAAAAAUAUUGUUCAUUGUGACCUCAAACCAGAAAAUGUGUUAUUGGCAUCAGCUGAUCCUUUCCCACAGGUAAAACUUUGUGAUUUUGGCUUUGCCCGAAUCAUUGGAGAGAAAUCAUUUAGGCGUUCAGUUGUAGGAACACCAGCCUACCUUGCUCCAGAAGUGCUGAGGAACAAAGGCUAUAACAGAUCUCUGGAUAUGUGGUCUGUGGGUGUCAUCAUUUAUGUAAGCCUCAGUGGUACCUUUCCAUUCAAUGAAGAUGAAGACAUACAUGACCAAAUCCAGAAUGCCGCUUUCAUGUAUCCACCUAAUCCAUGGAAGGAAAUUUCUCAUGAAGUGCCAUGAUAAUUGAUGCUACAAGUGGUUGAAGCAUUUGGGGGGAAACACAGAUGAUUUUAAAGAUUUUAUGAAGUUGCUUACUCAACAUUGCAAAUAAAAACAAUUUGAAAAGGUAUGUGCAUUUAAAUGUAAACUAUGGUAACAUGAAGCUCAUUUCAAGCUAAAAUACACUGGGGCUCAUAAAUUUCUCUGCACGAAGUGCUAUAAAUCUGCAAAAUUCAGACAGAGAAUUAGUUUCAAUCCCAACAGGUUAGGUUUGUGCACUUGAAAAUCUUCCUUUAGCUUGUCAUAGGCUCUUGCAGCUUCCCAAACAGGUUAAGCUAAUGAAUUGGAUAUUUGCCUGCCAUAUCUUUUCCAUUAUUCUUUUCGCCAAUUUUUCUUAAUCAUUAAACAUUUUUCAACAGAAAUUUUAAGACACAUGACUAUGAUUAUUUUUUUAAUUUUUUAAAUUUUCAUAUAAAAAGAUCCACAAUAGAUUACUUGUAAAGGCACACUUGAUUUCUAACUAUUUCCUGGAAUUUGUAUUACAGCAGUAAUUCUCCAAAGAGGGCAGUAAUUAUCAUCAACUAGUUCUUCCACUCAGGCUUGUAAAGGAGUUAUAUAGCAGUGUGGAAUGUGAUGCUGCUGCAGAAUCCGGCAAGAUCUUGUAAAUAAACAUUGAUCAGGCUAUUUCUUUCGAGCUGGUAUGACUGAAAUUGCUGUCUUGAAGUAUCUACACAGAUAUUUUCUUGCAAGAAGCAUUAUUCUUUGUUUUAAAAUUAAAAGAAAAUUAUUUAAGUAGUUUUUACUUGUAAGAAGGAAAAAAUGUUGAAGAUCCAGCAGUUAGUCCAAUUUAAUUAUUGACAUUUAAAAACGUGCAAAUAUUUAAGAGAACUCUAACACAUAAUAAACAACCACAGUCUUCACAGAAGCCUGCAACCAAAAUUUUGCUGCACUGCUAUAGCAUUAAAAAAUGGAAACCAAAAUUGAUUAGGCAAGUAUCAUUGUUGCAGAUAAAAUAAAUGCAAAAUAAAUAUUAUCUUUAAUGCAGAUAAGAAAGAUCUUUUUAAAGUGUUCCGCUGUGUGAAUUUGAAAAAUAGGAGCCAUUUGUCAAAAGUUUACCAUAAGCAAAACUAAUGUAAAUAUUCUUCUUUCUUUCUCCAUUACUUUACUGCUUUCUUCUCAUAUGUCCAAAAGACAGUGCUGGGCCCAAGCACUCUUUAACAAUGGACUCUAUGAAUUGUACAUUACAGCUAGAUUUUGAAAGUGGUACCUUCAUCCAGAGACUAUAUUACAUAUCUCAGUAACAGCAGGCAGAAACUGAGAAUUCAGUCAACUUAGAAGAGCUAGGCUAACAUCUAAGAGGAUUAGUAUUAACUCUGAUUUAUGCAUGCCAAUAAAAAUGCUCAGGUUCUCUGACCAUAUAAAAUGCAAUUUGCAUGAAUUUCUUCUUUUUUUACUGCUGAAGUGUGUCACUACUGGUUGCUGUGAAUGCUCAUAAUAUGAUAAUCCUAGAAACACUUACAGAACAGUGAGAAGUAGUGGAAGGAAUUACAUAUCAAUUUGAGAUUAAAAAAAAGAAAAAGAAAUAAAUGUUUAUUCACACCUGUUGCUAUCUGUAUGAACAAUCCUGCUUGAUACGCAAAGCAAGUGAUGGGAGAUAAGACAGACAACCUAAAGCAAUAGAUUGGGGAGGGGGGGAGGUUACUUCAUUAUGGUACCAGGUUAGGAUUACAAACAAAUGCAGCUGAUAUACCUGAGCUAGCUGCUGCUUAAACUGCAGAAACUCAUUUGCUUGAAAUUCUGUGUAUGUACUUUUAGUGGAACUGUAAAUGUUUCUAAAGUUGUGGGCUUUUUACCUUGUUAUGCAAUUUUCAGUUUAGAUUAAGGGAAGUGAUCAUCAACCAAGUGUAUUGCCAGUGUCUGUGCAACAACGAUUUUAUUAAAGGGCAUAUAAUUUGUCGCAGAAUGGCUAAUGAAAGCAGUGUUAGGAAUUUCUGCAUGGCUGUUGCAAAAAUCGACACUGAGGAAAGCAGAACAACGCUCAAACCUCUUGUUUCUUGCUUAUGACUAUUACUGUGUCCCAGGGAGCCAAAGUGGAUGUAAAACUUACUGCAACUGUAGUUAUUUCAGUGCUCUUUUCAGACCAUUACUCAUGUAAAAAGUUUAAGAAUAGCUAAACUUAGUUAUUGCCAUGUUUACUUCUAUUUAUAUUGUAAUCAGAGAGGAAUUAAAAGCUCAGAUAUUUUACUUUUUAGCAAAACCACAUAUUUCUUCCCAUUUAAAUGGAUAGUGCACAAAUUAGAGUGAAUGGUGCUGUGUUUAUCAUCUCUUUGGUUUUAGUGCUCAGUAGAUGCUUUUUCUGAUAUUGCCAAGCAACAGCAUGUUAAUUUGGGAGCUGGAAUGCAGAGGGUAGCAAAACUCUAAAGGGAAGAAAAAUAAUGAGAUAGGUCAUACCUAAACAUUAUGUCUGGAAAAGCCACACCAGUGGUAAAGUAGCCUAAAUGUUUGCAUUCUGUGUUCUUUAUUCAAUUAUUGGUCUUAAGGUAAAAUUCAAUUGGCUUUUAAAAUUCUAAACUUCACUGCUGAGGCAAUAGAUUUGUAAAAACACAUGACCCAUAACAGUUUAAACUGCGUGAUUAUAUAAAUAAUACACUUAAAAUAAAGUCUAGCAGGUUCAGAGCAAAAACAUAUGGGAAGAAAUUGUAUUUUGGAGGAAAAGUGUGUCAUGAACACAAUAGCGUGGUCUGUGUUAGUUUAUUUUCUUGAGAAUUACUUUUUCUAUAGCACUUUAUAGCAAUUUUUAAAAUAAAAAAAUACAGUCACAAGCCAAGGAAGAAGGCAGAACCCAUUCGAGGAUAACAUUUUUGAGUGUUUAAUGUCUUUCAGCCACUAUCAACAGUUCUGUCUUCUCUCCCACUCAGGAAUGUGGUCUAGUCAUUGACUAUGACUUUCUUCUCUCCAUAAUGUGUCUGUCUGAUGUCAUAACAUCUAGGUUAAUCUCAUCAACUCUUCCUGCUGAGAAAUUCUAGCUUUUUUGUGUAAUGCUUUGUCUGUCCUCUUCCCCCUUAAAAUUUAACCUAUAAAAACUAGGACCUUUCAAUUUUUGUAGCUCUCAGAAAUGUAUUUUUUCCAAACUAAUUAUCCAUUCAGAGCAUUUCUGCGAGCAUCAGUUCCCAAAUCUUAGUCCUCAUGCACAAAAUCCCUUCUCUAACUUCACCAAACUUAAUUGCUUUACAUUUUAAGGUUUGUCAGAGAUUGUGUGUGUGUACACACAGUCUCACAGAUUCCUCCAUAGGGAAUUCUGAUUUCCACCCUACUAAGCAGUUGCAUUUUCCCACCUUUUUCCAAUACCUUCUCUCUUUUGAAAGAAUACUUCCCAAAAACAGAGUUUGUGUUUGUAUGUCUAAAUAGAAUUGUAAGACAUUACCGUGGAGAUGUAUUUACUGUGGUAAACUUUGGAUAUCUUGUAGAAAACCAGGUUUUGUCACAGCCAUUCAACAUUCCAUCACCGAAUCUGCUGUUUCUGUUCUGUCUUCAAUGAUUGUCAAGCCAGCUUAACUUUCCAAAUUCACUGAAUUGCUGUAUGACAAGUUGACCUUAAUUCAGACUUCACUGUGCAGUUUUGCUAGAUAUUCAUACAGAAGAGUCUACUUGCAGAAUUCUUUCCUAUUUUAUAGCUUUAAAUUUCACAUCUGUCAAACACAUCUGUCAAACUGCCUAUUUUCAACAGCAUUACUGUUCGUUUCCAACUUUGACCUCCCAGUCCACCAAAUUUGGAUCAUCUUAAAAGAUUUAUUUUGACUUAGCUACAGGUUACAAAAAAUAAAUACUGCUAAAUAUAAAGACAGAACUCCCUGGAGGAUUUUGUGCCUGCCUGUUAGUGUAUUUUACCUGGUGUGUCUUCACUGUGGUGUCUGGUCUUUUGAACUGCAUGGUCCUAAAAUGUGCUAUGUCAAGCUUUGGAUUAUUCAUGGUGCGUUUCAUUCUGUUAUGGAAUUUUAAUAAAUCAUUGUAUUCAUAGUUCUUUUUUCAUCAGCUACCAACACAGCUAUUACUACUAGCCUGAUGAGAGCUAUGUGAUGUGCACACUGUUGAUUAGGUGCUUCACAUUACUUCAUAUUAUUAAAUAAUUUGGGAAGAAGCAAUGCAACUUCUUCCAUGCAUUAAAUUUGAUCAUGGUGUGCCUGUUACACUGCUUUUGAGUCAGAAAUAAAUACCACAGCUGCCUUCAAGCCAGUAUUUAUUUAGACUUGUUUCGCCAUAAUGUGAAUAGAAACUCUGUUUCACACAUUAAUGAGAAAGUCACAUGAGUGAGCAUUAAGUAUGAGGAGGUCAAAUGCAUGUUACAGCUCAAAGAUGCUCUCUACCUCAGUAAAUGUUUAACUAGCUGUUUAAACUAAGGUCUUGGCUCUACUUAACACAUGUUUGCUAGGAUAGAUUAGUAUUAGAAAACCUCCCUUGAAGAGGUGCAGCUUAUAAUUGCCAAGGAUUUCUUUUGAUAGUACAGCUGAAUCCAUGCCUCUGAAAAUAAUAAGCUCUGCUAGCUGAAGGUUAUUUUUUGCCAAAAAUAACUGCAUGUACACUAGAGCAUUUGUCAACAAAGCUGUAUUGACCAGCGGUAGGGAAGGGGUUUAUAUGUAUGAAAGCAUUAUACCACUAAUCAAUAGAGCUAUACUCAGAAAAAUCCAGGGCCUAGGAAGUCUUAAGUUUUAUAUUAAUGGCAUCAGCUUAAAUUUUUACAAGUGAUGGCUGUGAAAGUAGUUAAUAUUAUGGGUGUACUUCAAAAAUUCUGGACCGAGUAUAAAUUUAUUGUUAAUUUAGGACUGCUUUUCUUGAUAUUCUUAAGGUGAUUUAUUUUUUAUAACUUAUACAAAAAGCUGAAGCCUGAUUGGUAGAACUAAAUGAAUGGUAGCUUCAUAGUAGGGUUUUCAGGUAUUUUGUAAACUUGUGUGUUAAUAUGUGGGUCACAUCCUAAUUAAUUUGAUACUUAGAGUGAAAAUUGUUACUGUGUCUCUACUACAAUUAAUUAUUUGCCAUACUAAUAAACUCCCAUAAGUAGUUCAGAAACAUGAACGUCCUGACUCUGGAGGUUCUUUCCAGUAAAGUGCAACUAAAGAGCAAUCUUUCCUAAAAUUGAGGGGACAUACAGCUUUUUAAAGUUGUAUUUGAAUCUUCCCAUUGGGGAUUCUGCUGAAUGAGCACGUAUCUAAAUGACCAGUAGUCAUGCUAGUGGAGUAGUUGGCUAGUUUAUCCCCUUUAAGAAAGUCUCCAGCUGCUGGAACUUGAUAAGCCCUCAGCUGGCUGCUUAUGCUAUCCUUAAACCGUGGGAAGUAAACAGGAGCCCAUAAAAGUGUUAGAAAAAGCAGUACCAUAAUCCUUUCAGAACUUUCAUUCAGGUUACUUCCUUGGUGAUAACCUGUUGGAUUCCCAUAGAUGAUGUGCAGACCAUAGGUGGUCUUUCUUAACGCUCUGCAUUUAUUGAAUUACUGAUUUUACAGAAGAAUAUUGUCAAACUUUAUAAAGCUCUUAAAAUGUCUGACAAGGAUUACUUUAAAACCUGAUUUAAAAAAAAAAAAAUCAGUCUCUAGUGAAAAUUCAUAACAUUUACUUCAAAUUACAGUGUAUUUGCUACCCUCUCCUCAAAACUGCUUUAUCUUCCUAGAAGAAAAUUUAAUUUCCUAACAAUUGGUGCCCCAGUUUGGUCUCCGGAAUCAUAUUUGAGUUGUAUGUCUAAACUAAAUGUUAAUACCUUCCAAAUUUUUAUCUCCAGUGUUUUUAAGCAGUAUAACUCAAAACGUAAUCAUCAAAUUAUUAAUUAUAUGAAUAUUUUUUUUAUUAAGAAGUUGCGUCAACAUGAAUCUUACUGUUCAUACAUCUUGUAUGAACUGUAGCCACACCAAACCAUAUUAGAUAGUGGUUGUCAGGACACUAUCAGGACAGGAUGGUGUUUUUGUAAGCUGAAACAGAGAGAAUAACCAGGAUCUUUUCUCAUUUGCUUUAAAUAGUCCCACAGAACCCACCAGUGUCUGAACUUCUACAAUUUAACACCGGUUAAAUUCAGCAUUUUCUCAUUAACAGACUAUUCCAGAUCCCUGAGGAAAUCCUUUAAUUUUUCAGUUCCAGCACUCAGCCUGUCUGUAUUGAACUCCCUAGCUUCUGCUUUCCUUUACACAGCACUGUCCUUUUGUUGCCUUGCCAGUACGUAUCAUUUGCAUCUUGACUUCUGAUACUCAGAACUCUUAUGCUUGAGAAGUGGCCUUUCUUGGAUUGCAUGUUUUCCUGGUAAAAAUAGCAAAUGCUUUUUGCUGUUGAAACUCAUGUCUGAUCUCUCUCUUCACCUACAUUUGAAAACUUAGAGUAUUAAAGCAAAUGGAAUUGUAUCAGAUAGUUUGGGCCCUAAAUCUUCAUAAUAGUCACGUUGCAUUUGUGCUUAUUUAUGGCUAAGAGGCAAGUGAUAUUCGAAACUUUCCUGGCAAAAAGACCCCUAGAUAAAGAACUAAAAACGAACACCAAAACUUGUUACAGAGACAGCGAUAUUCCAGUGGUGAAACAAGUGGACUACCUGUGUAAACUGUUCUGGAGAAGAAUGAUUGCUCAGUACUGACAAUCUUAACCAUCUAGUGAAGCUGCCUUUUCACUUUUGUCUUAGUUUCCUUCCCUAUCCUUCUUUGUGUACCUUCUCUUGUGGCUGUUCCUAGACCAAUGCCAUUCUGGUCUGUUCAACAAGCCAUUGGCAAUUUUCCCCAAGAAUACAAAGAAUUAUGUUAUUACAUGUAGUAUGUCAUUGUCCUGAAGGGAAAAAAAAGGGCAAAGGGGUCUUCAUCCUGCUGUAACUUGAGGGAGGCUGAAUAGCUAUGUAUAAUUUCAUCACUUGUAAGGCUCACGGUCAUAUCUGCUUCCAGUGGGUUGGAGAGAAGAUACAUAGUAGAGACAUUAUCAAUACUCCUUGGCAGGAAGAAUAUUCAGUAGGUGCUUAGCAGUUUUAGAAGCACAUCUUGGGAAACAUGCACUUAUAUCUCAACAGUUGGCUGGUUGAAAUCAAUUCCCAGGACAAUCAACUCUUUCAUCAAGCUCUUGACCUAUUUGCCAAACUGAGAUUCAUAGUAAAUGAUGAAAAAUUAUCUCUGAAGAUCAUAUACACCUGAAUACCUCUGAAGAUAAUAAACAAAUGGGAACCCUAUUAAAUUCACAUUCAGCACUGGCCUAUUUAUCAAAAGACAGACUGAAGUCUUACUGUAAUUCUGCUGAAUUUAAGGGUAAGGUGACAGUGUUGCAGAAGAUGCUGAUAUCUGCCAAUGCCCAGAUUUACCACAGUGGGUAAGGACUAUGUUCUCCUCCUCCAAGCAUCAGAUAAAAACAAUGUCCACUACUUUUUCCCAAGUUAUAUCAGAAGUCACUGUAUAACUGAACCAUGCCAUAUGACUUGAUUUUCCUGUCUCUUCCUCAUGGCUUGGAACUUGAGAACUUAUCUUACCAAUAAAGAGGAAAAAGAUUAACCCCACUAUUUUGGAAAACAAAUGAGUUUUCAGAACGCUACCAUCUAUCAGUAGUGGUCCUAUUGGCUAUCCACUGGCUGUCUGAUCCCACAUCCACUUCACAGACAUUUUGAGAGGGAACAAAAUAAACAUGAGUUAGAAAAUUUAGCAUGAACUGUACUUUACACUAAGAGAGACAGUAGCUAAACACCUGUUUUUCCAGAACAGGAAAAAUAAAAUUAGGACCAUCUGCUCCAGGAAAAGCAUGGCUCAGAACCUCUGGCAAUGUCGUCUUUGUCAGAAGCCUUGAGAUUUGUUUUAUCUCGUUCCCACAAUUGCUUUGAUUUCCAAGAUAAUAUUCGGCACCAGGAAGUCAGGGCUACUUUAGUGAUGGUCAGCUAUUGCUAAGAAUAGGUUUGUCUGUCAAACUUACUGCAUACAUCCAGAUAGGCUGCCAUAUACAUUCCCAUUUUUGUGGGCAUUGUGCUCAUUGUGCUCUGCCUCAUGGCAGAGACACACAGGAAGCUCUAGUUGGCAAAUGAGCCUGGGGAGAGGAAGCCUGUUUUAAAAAAGAAAAGGUUUUCCAUAUUGCUGCACAAAUACAACCUCAGAGAUGUAGCAAUUUAAAGAAUUCUGUCCCAUCGCCUGCUCUUAAAACAGACAAGAUGAUUAUUCAGCUCCUUCAAUACCCAGCUGGCAACAAUGUCCAUCUCACAUUUCAGACCCAAUUCCCCUCAGUGAUGCCAUGUUUCUGUGUUACUUUCAAGAUCAUCUUUCCCUGUCACCAUGUUAUAAACAAAAAAUAAAGAUGUAAACCAGCAUACUUUGGACAAGCCAAGGGCUACUGUGAUGAAAUGGGAAAGUUGCAGUAAUAUUAUAAUUCCUUGUGGCCGGUCAAUUAUUCUAUAACAAUAAACUCCCCCAGAACACAUGCUGAACAUUUAGCACCACCUAGAAUAGAAUUUAACCUUACAUGAUACCCUCAUUUUUUAUUUUUUAAUUUUUUUAAAUGGUUUUAGUAGAUGCAUUCAAAGCUUAGCAGUCUCAUCCCAGAGAUUUUUCCAAAUGGGUCACUCAGUGCAGUUCCAUGCACUGGUCAUUGACUCAUGGGCCUCUUCUCUUCAGGAACCACAGCACACAUACCUAUAACCUCAGUGAAUCAUUGACUCCUUCAAAACCACAGAAAUUAAGAAAUUUGUAAAGAACCCCUCUCACCUUUAUGAAACACCAGACUGCUGACUAGCAGGUAGAAGCAAUGCUCAGUUCAAAAGAAUAGUAUUGCAAGACUUGUGACUUACAAAAACCGCUACUCAGUGCCUGGGAAGGUGCUGCUGUUAGUCAUAUAAAAGCGAUACUGAGAGUCUCAGAGUAAAAUAUAUGUAUAUGUGUGUGUGUGUGUGUGUGUGUAUGUUUACUGUGGUACCUGAAGAAUACAGUAGUACUCCCUUACAUGAGAUUUUUUUCACUUGAGCAGGAACUGAAUGAGGAUUAUCUUCAGUCUUUGCUGUGUGCCUGCAAAUGAACACACAGAAGUAGACGAUAUGCUAGCUAGCAGGCAACUGUUCAGUAAAACAGUUGUAAUCCCAUUAGGAAGGGUUGCAUGGGUACCUUCAAGGACAGCAACAUUGACUGCAGUUUGGAAAAAGCUGGAAUAAGAAGGGAUAACUUCUUACUACCACCAUGUCUGUCUGUCUCUCUGUUUACAUGUCCUAGUUGAAACAAAUAUAUUUAAACUGACAUUUUCCACUAUUAUUUCCUUUCAGCUAUUGAUCUGAUAAAUAAUUUGUUGCAAGUGAAAAUGAGAAAGCGCUACAGUGUGGACAAAACGUUAAGCCAUCCAUGGUUACAGGACUAUCAAACCUGGUUAGAUUUAAGGGAACUUGAA